GUGUUUUAAUAUGCUGAAAUAAUACCAAAUGAUAUUGUGACGACUGUGAUGUUAUGCUAUGAAAUGACUCGCAUAAUGGUUAUUACAAAUAAGGGGAGAAACAGAUCUGAAGAGCACACGUGUGA